AUUCAGCUGACGAGUCCCAAAAUAGGACAAAACAUGCGUCCUCGAU
rnacentral:hammerhead_ribozyme from 1 species